GGGGCUGUAACGGUUUCGACAGGUUAGUGAAAGCUGACCCGUGAUACAGGUCGAGAGUGAAUCUCCUCUCGUAAAUAAAAGAUUCAAAAAAAAUAGUAAAUGCGAACAACAUCGUUCCUUUUGCUCGUAAAGCCGCUCCUGUAGCUGCCUAAGACCAAAAAACUUGGUUCGAGCGCUUAUAGUGUGACUCCGUUAAACAUUAUAGGCAACCCUUAACGGAUGCCCUCUCAUACUGUUUUCAGUCAGUUAAAGAGUUAAGAUAAUACUGGAAAAUCCUGCUAUCAGGGAUAAUUGAUAGUUCCCGCCUGAUGGACUAGAAAGGCUAAACCUGUGAAUGAGCGAUAGGUAAAUAACUAAUUUGGACAGCAGUUCGACUCUGCUCAGUUCCAUAU
rnacentral:tmRNA from 1 species